rnacentral:rRNA from 1 species
AGAGUUUGAUCCUGGCUCAGGACGAACGCUGGCGGCGUGCUUAACACAUGCAAGUCGAACGGUGACCCGGUGCUUGCACCGGUGAUCAGUGGCGAACGGGUGAGUAACACGUGAGUAACCUGCCCCCGACUCUGGGAUAACCCCGGGAAAUCGGAGCUGAUACCGGAUACGAGACGCACAGGCAUCUGUGGCGUCUGGAAAGAAUUUCGGUCGGGGAUGGACUCGCGGCCUAUCAGCUAGUUGGUGGGGUAACGGCCCACCAAGGCGACGACGGGUAGCCGGCCUGAGAGGGCGACCGGCCACACUGGGACUGAGACACGGCCCAGACUCCUACGGGAGGCAGCAGUGGGGAAUAUUGCACAAUGGGCGAAAGCCUGAUGCAGCGACGCCGCGUGGGGGAUGAAGGCCUUCGGGUUGUAAACCCCUUUCAGCAGGGAAGAAGCGAAAGUGACGGUACCUGCAGAAGAAGCGCCGGCUAACUACGUGCCAGCAGCCGCGGUAAUACGUAGGGCGCAAGCGUUGUCCGGAAUUAUUGGGCGUAAAGAGCUCGUAGGUGGUUUGUCGCGUCCGCUGUGAAAACCCGAGGCUCAACCUCGGGCCUGCAGUGGGUACGGGCAGACUAGAGUGCGGUAGGGGAGACUGGAAUUCCUGGUGUAGCGGUGGAAUGCGCAGAUAUCAGGAGGAACACCGAUGGCGAAGGCAGGUCUCUGGGCCGCAACUGACACUGAGGAGCGAAAGCAUGGGGAGCGAACAGGAUUAGAUACCCUGGUAGUCCAUGCCGUAAACGUUGGGCACUAGGU